UAGUAAUGUUUUCAUUUUUUAAAUACAUUGAGUCUCUCAGCAUCGGUCUUCUCCUGCCGUAUUUUGAUCUUUGGAGUAUGCAUAAGGAUGGAAAAAUAAAGAAAGACAGAAAAAUACAAAGAGUUGUGGGACACACUGCAAAGAGGGAGAAAAUAGAACCUCUGGGAUUCUUCUUUUUCCCUACAAAGUGUUAUGGAUGAAGGCUAUGGAGAAAAUCUUCCCGGCCGGAUGCUGUCUACAGCAUGGGUUUCCCUGGUUCAGAGUUGCACCUCCCACCAGUUGUGUGACCUUCAGGCUAUGGGUCUGAUUCAGUCAUAGCCUCAAACAAAUGUCACCACCUCUACUGGAAAAUGUAGUGACCAGUGGAUUAGAGAAGCGAGAGGGCUGGAAAUGAGUCUGCUUCAAGUCUUCCCAUGUACCUUGCGGAGUGACAUCUGGAAAUGGUGGAGUUCCUAUUCUGAGGAUCAAACCUGCAUUUCCUCUAUGUGGUUGAAGGCAGUGCAUUAGUGGGAUGAAGUGCCAGCAGCACGCAGCUGAAUCUGCUGAUGACACUGGUGUUUGGACUAGACCAGAGCAUGACAGUACUGGCUGGCUCAUUUGGAAUCCAAGCCUGUGGUUGUGUAUCCUCCAUUGUCAUCGUGGAAAUCGAGACUGCCUUCACCGCACAUUUAUUUCAAGGCAAACAAACGAGACACUCAGAUACUGAUGUUCAGAGCCCUUUCCUCCUUGUUUACCUAAAUUUGGUUGAAGAGCCCUUGAGAUAAGUGUAGGAGUGCUGCAGCUACAGAGAGAAGUGUUCACCCGCUUGUUGAUUCACUGCCGGUUGUGUUCCCUGGCUGCAAUCAGAGCACAGUUUCCCCUUCAGAAGUUUGGAAUCAAAGAGAAGGCAGAUUCUCCUGUGAGUCGGUGGAUUUGGUUUCUACAGAGCUCAGCCACCUGCACCAGUCAGUGACGGGGACUUCUCCAGGACAUGGUUCCAAAUGUUCCCAGAGUUGGGUUAGCGUACUCCAAGAGGAACCCACCAGCUGCAGAGGGACUCGUAUUACUGGAGCAACUUCAGUGUCAGAACUGCCCCGGGAACGAGCACAGGUUGUCGCGGACCUCGGGUAUGACUUAAAGGGUUAAGCUAUCCUGUUGUACAGAGAACCCAGAGCCAUCUCACCAUCUUGUGAAAACUGAAGAAGGCAGUGGCUCCCAAAGUGCCCUCCCUUGCCUGUACAAUCUGAAGGAAGAAAACUCUUCAAAUCAGCUAUGGCUUUCCCAACAGACUUUUCCUGGAAAGGAUAUUUUCUUCUAGAAAAGAAAUUUCUCCAGAAAAAUUCUGAUAUGGUCAACUAACUAGAGCAUCUGGUGUAUGAAGCUGGUCUAAGGGCAGCGAAUUUCAGUUCAUUAAAAGAAAUUUCAAAGGUGAUGCUCUGAACAAUUGCUGGAGGAAAAUAUUGGAGCUUUCCACCAAGGCCGUGAGCCAAGCCAGGUUCCAUCUGCGUGCUCUGCUCUACCUGACUGGUCGUGUCCACCUGCCAUUACUAAGGAUGCACGAUGGAACCAUGCCAAGGUAUUAUUGGCACAGGCUGCCCAGGGAGGUGGUGG